CUUAAGAAAAAAAUGGAAGAAGCAGAACAACUCCCACUCUCACCAAUACUCCCUAGCGACGGCGAAGCCCGGCGGAGAAUAUGCACAGCAGGCUGCGAUCGUCCUGUGAAAGUAUGCUUGUGUGAUAAACUCCCUCACCAACCACUUUCAACCGCCACACAAAUAGUAAUCUUACAACAUCCUCAUGAACAACGCCAAAAACUGGCAACAGUUCCAGUUCUUAGAAAAUGCCUCAAAAAUUGCCAAAUCAUAAUUGGUAGGAAACUUCGCAAAGGCUCCUCACCUCUUCUCGAUAAUCUCUACCAUUCUGGAGCUGAUUCUACACCGCUUCGUCGCGCUGUCUAUCUUUUUCCUGGCACAGAAUUGAUGCCUUCGGUAGAUAUUGGUGAGUGGAGAUCAUCAUCAAACAGUGAGUGCAUAGAUGGAUUUGUUCUAAUUGUAUUUGACGGUACUUGGAAACACGCUAAGGAGAUGAUGUAUGCAAGUCUUCCAUUUUUAUCUAAAUUUGCAACUUGCAUAUGUUUUGGUUGUGAUUACGAUGUUGGUGGUGGGAGCAUAUACAAUUCAGAUCUAAUUUUAAAGAAGGAACCAUAUAAAGGGUGCAUGAGUACCAUGGAGGCUGUUGCUCGCGUUUUGAGAUUUCUUGAGCCAGCUGGGUUAGAAGUUGAAGCAAAGCUGGUUGAGGUUUUGAAGUCAAUGGUUCGUCUACAGGCAUGCUAUUUAAAGCCUACAAAACCACGGCCAAAGUUGUUAAAGAAGGGUAUGGAGCCGGAAGAUUAAUAUUGAAGCAGCAUGUGAGUGAAUAGUGAUUACUGAAUUCUUAUCUUUGAUCAGCCACUUUGGAUCAAAAAUCGAUGACAAGAGGUUACACAACAAAGAGGUUCUUUAACGCAAGCAGCAAAACCUUGUAAUCCUGUCAUUACAAGAAAUGUGGUGCACUUGGCCUGGAAGAGAUCAUUGGUGCAAUUUUUCAUGUGGAAUACAAAUUGCAGAAUGUAUUCUGUAGAUACAUGAUAAAAAGACGGAACUUGCUUGAUACAACUACUGGAGCACUUUUUUUUUAGCAUGCUAAAUCAUGUAAAUGAACUUUUUGUUAGCUGAUUUUAUGGGGUAUUGAGUGAAGGCACUACUUGUUACUUUCAUCAACAUCUGUAAUACACCCUUGGUUUACUGAAGUGAAUGAGGGUGAAAGGCAUCGGAAGUAGCUACUCUUUUUAGAGAUUGGAACGGAAGCUAAUAUAGGCAUGUUUGGCAAAUAGAGUCUAGAGUUUAACUGUUAAGAGUUUAAAGUUUGUUGUUAGAGUUUUAACUUUUUGUUCAGCAAAUUUGACGGUUGAUUUGACAACUUUUUUCUAUA